UUGAGAUCCUCAGGGAAUUAAAUCUGCUGCUUGUCUACAGGAUAGAUAAUUGCAGGGCAAGCUUCCCACAUCACUGCCUCCUGCCAAUGCAGCUCAGCCUUGACCUGGCUACCAUUCAUGGCGGGACAGUGUAGAGUUCAUUCUCCGUAUCCCAUUCAUAGUCACUGGCCUUU
ensembl:misc_RNA